AACGCGAAGAACCUUACCAAGGCUUGACAUGACGGAAGUAGCAACCUGAAAGGGGAGUCACCUGUUGAGUCAGGAACCGUCACAGGUGCUGCAUGGUUGUCGUCAGCUCGUGCCGUGAGGUGUUGGGUUAAGUCCUGUAACGAGCGCAACCCCUGCUGUCAGUUGUUUUUUCUGGCGAGACUGCCCCGAGAAACGGGGAGGAAGGUGGGGAUGACGUCAAGUCAGCAUGGCCCUUACGCCUUGGGCUACACACACGCUACAAUGGGUAGUACAAAAGGUAGCAAUAGAGCAAUCUGGAGCCAAUCCUAAAAACUAUCCUCAGUUCGGAUUGCAGGCUGAAACUCGCCUGCAUGAAGCUGGAGUUGCUAGUAACCGCAGGUCAGCAUACUGCGGUGAAUACGUUCUCGGGCCUUGUACACACCGCCCGUCACGUCAUGAAAGUCGGCAACACCUGAAGUCGAUGGGCUAACUUCGAUUUAUCGAGGAAGCAGUCGCCGAGGGUGGGGUUGAUGAUUGGGACGAAGUCGUAACAAGGUAACCUUAAUUAAA
rnacentral:rRNA from 1 species